rnacentral:misc_RNA from 1 species
GUUUCACCAGCCCCCCCCAUACUCAAAUCAUGGUUUUUUUUUGCACUAAAAAUUAGCACUUAAUUAGCAUGAAUUAGCAAGACUAUUGUCAUAAUUUGCAUGACACUAUUUAAUGAGAAAUAACCAAAAAACUUUGGGGGGCUGGUGAAACGUUUCACCAGCCCCCCCAAAAUUGAAAAAAAAAGAUUUUCCCUAUUUUUUUAUCACCAAUAAUUAGCACGCAAUUAGCAUGAAUUGGCAAGCCUACGCACGAAAUUCGCACGCCAUUAUUUACCGAGCAAUCAGUAUUUCAAAAUUUUGACCGUUUCACCAGCCCCCCCAAAAUUGAAAAAAAAAGAUUUUCCCUAUUUUUUUAUCACCAAUAAUUAGCACGCAAUUAGCAUGAAUUGGCAAGCCUACGCACGAAAUUCGCACGCCAUUAUUUACCGAGCAAUCAGUAUUUCAAAAUUUUGACCGUUUCACCAGCCCCCCCCAAAAUUGAAAAAAAAAGAUUUUCCCUAUUUUUUUAUCACCAAUAAUUAGCACGCAAUUAGCAUGAAUUGGCAAGCCUACGCACGAAAUUCGCACGCCAUUAUUUACCGAGCAAUCAGUAUUUCAAAAUUUUGACCGUUUCACCGGCCCCCCCAAAAUUGAAAAAAAAAGAUUUUCCCUAUUUUUUUAUCACCAAUAAUUAGCACGCAAUUAGCAUGAAUUGGCAAGCCUACGCACGAAAUUUGCACGCCAUUAUUUACCGAGCAAUCAGUAUUUCCUUUUUGGUUACUUAUAUUAUGCAAAAAUGAAUCAAAAUAUUAAUACAAAUCAAUAAUACCUAUUUAUGAAUGAAUGUAUGUUUGAGUUGAUUUGGAACCACUUAUAUACAUUUAUUACUUGCCUGUUGAGAUACUGGACCGUUUUUUUUACGAUAAAAUUUAUGGUAGACGGGAUGUUGCAACUUGUGUACAAUCGAGAAGGAAAUUGCCUUUAAUAAAAAUUAUUGAACCUUAAAUACUAUAAGUUACAAUUCUAUGUACUAUUAUUUGAUACAUCAAUUAUAAUUUAUAACUAGGUAAUAUAUAUUAUUACGUACAUAGUAGAGUACACUUAAAACAGUGUUCAUAAAAUAAGCAUGUAGGUAUCCGAGGUACCUACGACCUACCUAACAUGUAAUCUGUCCCCAUGUUGCUGUAAUAUACCUAUAAGGAUAUACCUAACUUAUUAUUUGCCAUUUGGUAUUUUAAUUGAAUACUAUAACUGUGUACACAAUACGUUAAGUGAAAUUAGUAUCGUAUUCCGUAUUUUUACACGCUCAUCGUCAUCAUAAUAUAAAUAAUUACCAAAUACUUUAAAACGUUAACGAAUAUUAUUCCAUAAAAUUCUAUUUUUAUAAUUAUCCCUAUUAUUGUAUUGAAUUAUUUUGGUAUUCACUACAACUGAAUGUUAGAUACUACCUACAUCGUAGUCAUUUCUCAUUUUACAUUUGAUUUGAUCGCACUGUUUUUGUAGUAUGUGAAUGUGUUUUAUUAAUUAUUUCAAUAUUAUAAAGAAAAACAUUUAUUAAUACUUAAAUGGCUGGACGAAAGUGGGUGAUUGAACCGUCAUUGGUUAUCGAUGCUAUACUUUUCUACAAAGACGCAGUUAUAAUUACCAACGAAAAUGGUGAAAAAAAAGUUGCUGUUGCUACUAACAGUGUAUGGUCUGAUAUCAGUUCAAAGCUUGAUAAUCGCAUGUCAACCAGUGCUCUCCAUACAUUUGUGUUUAAAGGUAGACAUGGGAUAAAGGAAAAACUAGGAUUUCUACCUCUGAAAACAUUUCCUGUUUCUACAAAUAUUUCUGAUGAAAAUCAAUUGUCAAACGGAUCGGGUACGUAAUUUCUAUUUAUGGUAUUUAGCAUUUGGAAUAUUGAGGUUGAUUAUAUAUUAAAGUGUACCUAUUUUUAGUAUGUUUGUAUUAUAAUUUAUAUUAUACAAAUUAUAUGUCUUGUAGUUAUUAAUUAUUAUGCAUAGCGAGCCAUAGGUAUUAUGUACCUAGGUACAUUUAAGUAAAUAAAUAUUUUGAUAUCAUUUAUGAUGUUAUUAAUUAUAAAACCAUAGAGACGACGUAUGAAAUUUAAACACCGUAAUCGUAUAAGACGUGUAGUAGGACGUAUGUACAUUGACUAGGUAUUAUUUUUAUUUUGGUUUUUUUUUUGGGAACGGGAUGAGCGUCCAAUAAGGUAGGUACAUACUUAUUAUAUAAAAAAAAAUUAUGAAGUACGUAAUAUACGGAGGUAUAUGAAUAUAGAUCAUAUUAUAUGCAAGACCCUAUAGACUAUAGUCUAUAAUAGCCUGAUGGCUGAUAUAUAUGUUCAUUUUUAUUUAUAUAAUACCGUUUUAUCAUAAUGGAAAAUAAUAUUGUCUCAAUAUUUUGUGAACGAUCAACAACUGCAUAUGAGAUACGAUUCACUGUCCGUUAGCAUAUAUUAUAAGACGUAACUACGUAAGUAUAUUUAAAAUUAUUUAAGAGGUCGUUCCUAGAGCAUAUUACACACUAGGUGAUCAAACGCGCGUGUCUACGUUUUUUAAACAUUGUGAUUAUUUAUUGAUCAAAAUAAUAUUGCCACACAUGUUUUCAUAUUGAUAAAAUAUUCUAGGUUUCUUUGACGUUCUAUCGCAUAGAAUCACACUAGUUUAAGUUUAAUUAUAGGCAACUAAUCCCGCUAACGCUCUAAAAUUAAA